CCUACGGGAGGCAGCAGUGGGGAAUCUUGCGCAAUGGGCGAAAGCCUGACGCAGCCAUGCCGCGUGAAUGAUGAAGGUCUUAGGAUUGUAAAAUUCUUUCACCGAGGACGAUAAUGACGGUACUCGGAGAAGAAGCCCCGGCUAACUUCGUGCCAGCAGCCGCGGUAAUACGAAGGGGGCUAGCGUUGCUCGGAAUUACUGGGCGUAAAGGGAGCGUAGGCGGAUAGUUUAGUCAGAGGUGAAAGCCCAGGGCUCAACCUUGGAAUUGCCUUUGAUACUGGCUAUCUUGAGUACGGAAGAGGUAUGUGGAACUCCGAGUGUAGAGGUGAAAUUCGUAGAUAUUCGGAAGAACACCAGUGGCGAAGGCGACAUACUGGUCCGUUACUGACGCUGAGGCUCGAAAGCGUGGGGAGCAAACAGGAUUAGAUACCCUGGUAGUCCACGCUGUAAACGAUGAGUGCUAGUUGUCGGCAUGCAUGCAUGUCGGUGACGCAGCUAACGCAUUAAGUACACUCCGCCGUCGGGGUAGGUACGGUCGCGAAGAAGUUAAACGUACAAUAGAAGUUAGACGGCGUGAGACGUGACCGAACGGACGACGACGAGGGAGGUUAGG
rnacentral:rRNA from 1 species